rnacentral:rRNA from 1 species
UACUUCUUCGGACAAUAUACAAGGUGCUGCAUGGUUGUCGUCAGCUCGUGCCGUGAGGUGUCGGGUUAAGUCCCAUAACGAGCGCAACCCCUAUCAUUAGUUGCCAUCAGGUCAAGCUGGGGACUCUAAUGAAACUGCCUACGCAAGUAGUGAGGAAGGUGGGGAUGACGUCAAAUCAGCACGGCCCUUACGUCCAGGGCAACACACGUGCUACAAUGGCCGAUACAGAGGGCAGCUACCUGGUGACAGGAUGCAAAUCUCCAAAGUCGGUCUCAGUUCGGAUCGGAGUCUGCAACCCGACUCCGUGAAGUUGGAUUCGCUAGUAAUCGCGCAUCAGCCAUGGCGCGGUGAAUACGUUCCCGGGCCUU